rnacentral:lncRNA from 1 species
ACUGUCGAUUGAAAUGAAGUAGGAUAUAUUUGUGAAAUUUGAGUAAAAAUCAAUUUGGUUUUAUUGAUUGAUAGAGGGUAUGUUCGAAGAUUUUGCAGUUUCUAAGAGAUUGUUUACUAUUUUGAAAACUUUUUCUCUCUAAUUUUAACGUUAAAAGCGGAAGCAUUCAAGAUGAAUAAAUAUUUAUUUAAAGCAUAAUAAAAUAUUAAUUAAAACCUGAUUUUUGUAUUAUGAAACUUAAUCCUUGGUUUAUGAAAUUGGAUCUUU